AUAAAAUCGUAGAAUUCAGUCGAAAAUUUGAUACUUUUUACAUUGAAAUCAAUUGAAAAAGAUUCAUUUUCUUGUGCUAAAAGUUACAGAGUAAAUAUAUAUGCGGUGUAUAUAAACCAAUCAUUUUUAUGGAUUUUAUACGGUCAAGAAAUGGUAUCGAGAGACUUCGCAAGAUGGCCACUGACAGAGGUUUUAUAGAGGAUCUAGAUUAUUACAAACUAUUAGAUGUUUUUAUAAUAUUAAAAUAUGUAGAAUGCUUUAUGGGCAAUUGUGGACCUGUUAGCCUAUUUUGUUUAUUACAAUCACAGUGAUACUUUAAUUGGUGCAUUGUAUUGAUAUUUAAAAUAAGCAUGAAUCAAAAUACUUCCUCUGUUAAUACUCUAGCUAUAUCAUUCCUUUGUUCUUUGAUUUAACAUUGUGCCAGUGCCGUAGCCAGAACGAUAAUUGGGGGGGGCACAUAUUCAUAUAUUCGUGUUCUGCUUUAUUAAUUUCUUUUGAAAUCAAUUGUUUUUAUGGUAUGUGAACACGAAUAUAUGAAUAUGUGCCCCCCCCCAAUUAUCGUUCUGGCUACGGCACUGCAUUGUACAUUGCAUUACAUUCAUACAAACAGUUCCAUGGUUAUAUCUAUUUAAUUUAUUUAUUAAUUGAGUCAUAAAAAAUUAUGUUGACAAUUAAUUAUGCUUGAAAAUAACUUAAUUAAAUGGAAUUAUGACAUAGUGUUUGAACUUUGAAAUGUUUUUGCUGAUAUAAUAUUAUCAUUUA